rnacentral:rRNA from 1 species
AGUGAACGCUGGCGGUAGGCCUAACACAUGCAAGUCGAACGGCAGCACAGUAAGAGCUUGCUCUUACGGGUGGCGAGUGGCGGACGGGUGAGGAAUACAUCGGAAUCUACUUUUUCGUGGGGGAUAACGUAGGGAAACUUACGCUAAUACCGCAUACGACCUACGGGUGAAAGCAGGGGAUCUUCGGACCUUGCGCGAUUGAAUGAGCCGAUGUCGGAUUAGCUAGUUGGCGGGGUAAAGGCCCACCAAGGCGACGAUCCGUAGCUGGUCUGAGAGGAUGAUCAGCCACACUGGAACUGAGACACGGUCCAGACUCCUACGGGAGGCAGCAGUGGGGAAUAUUGGACAAUGGGCGCAAGCCUGAUCCAGCCAUACCGCGUGGGUGAAGAAGGCCUUCGGGUUGUAAAGCCCUUUUGUUGGGAAAGAAAAGCAGCAGAUUAAUACCCCGCUGUUCCGACGGUACCCAAAGAAUAAGCACCGGCUAACUUCGUG